CCUGUUGACCACAAAUCCUUCAACUCUUUUAUCAGUGGUUGUAGAAACAUCCAGAGACCUUUUUGGAUGGUUCGGACCAGGUAUUCAUAUGGUCAAGAAUAGCAACUCCCGUUGCAUGCACAUCUCCGGUGGUAGGUUGUAUGGCGUAAGAAAGACUGGCCACAUUGAAUAUUGUCUCCCUGACAUUCCGAAUGGACUAAAUCCAUCUGUACAUAAUCCAAGAUACACAUUCUGGCUAUU
rnacentral:lncRNA from 1 species